UACGUAGGGUGCAAGCGUUGUCCGGAUUUAUUGGGCGUAAAGAGCUCGUAGGCGGCUCGUUGCGUCAGCUGUGAAAACCCAGGGCUUAACCGUGGGCUUGCAGCUGAUACGGGCAGACUAGAGUGCGGUAGGGGAGAUUGGAAUUCCUGGUGUAGCGGUGGAAUGCGCAGAUAUCAGGAGGAACACCGAUGGCGAAGGCAGAUCUCUGGGCCGUAACUGACGCUGAGGAGCGAAAGCAUGGGGAGCGAACAGG
rnacentral:rRNA from 1 species